CAAGAGAAGUUGCUCAAGGUCACUGCUCUCGCUGAGGACCCGAGUGUGGUUCCACGCAUCCACAUAGCAAUGUACCUGUCAAUGUAUGGAAAUCCUGUCCCAGGGAUCAGACUCCUUCUUCUGGGCACUGCUACAGGCUUGUGCAGGAGGCUGCAGGGGGCUGACUUUCUAGAUAUCACUAUUGUCACUAGUUCAUGGCAAAGCUACGGCUAGAAACUACAUCUCUCAAUGGCCAUCAGGACACCAAAGAUAAUGAGCAGAGCAGACAAAUCAAUCUGACAGGCUAUCACACACUGGUCCCCACCGGAUGGCGCUGGCUCACCAAGUGUUCAUCUUUUCAGUGUUGACAUACCCAGUGUACCAUAGAGCAAACCAGUACAGCUCCCACAAUGCCAGUUAUUCCUAUCUGUCACAGUUGUUACACUGAGAAGUACCACAGGUUAAGUAUUAUCUGAGAUGUCGGGUGUAAUUUCAUAUAAAGGUUUUGUUGAUUCCAAUAUUUUUCAAAUAUUUUUUCCAGGGCUUCACAAUGCAGCAUAGGCUUGCCUCACAUUCAUAAGUCAUCCUGCCUCAGUCUCUCUAGCUCUGGGAUUACAUGGGCACAACACCAUAGUCAGAGUUUUUCUUCCUAAACUGAUACUUGUGAAUGUUCUUUCUGCUCCUACCCCAGCAUCAUGGACAUGUUUUGCUCUCUGUCAGCAGCAUCUUUAAGAGGCAGAGUGCACUGGAGCCAGUCUGGUUCUGGAGAUGAGCCCAUCUGAGGUGUUGGCACUUUCCCAUGGCUUUCCCAGCCUCUGGGAUUCAUCUCUACCUUGUCUUCAGCACCGCUUACCUGGAUCCUGGAUAUGGUUUAGAACUGCCUUUUGCUGACCAGCUCUUUCUUAACCUUCAUGAUUUUUUUCUAAUAUCCUCACAAAGCCAUGCUACUGCAUGGACAUUUUGGUGAUGUGGACCACGUAGACAGCUCGGCUUCCUGUUUGGCACAGGCAUUUGUCAAAGCUUCCCAGACAGCUUAGUCGUUCUCCCACCUCUGCUCUCAUUAAAGUGUAUUUGUAAUCUCACCUCCUAAACACAUUCCCAUGGGAUGAUUUGCUUUGACACUCAGAGGUCUAUAUGUGCUAAAACCAGACUCUGCAUUGCUAGCUAAGUCCAACAUUGUAUUCCAUUCCCUGUGAACUUCAGAAUAAAGGAGUUCUGGCCUCCCAAGUGUCCUCUCAUCUCCAUACCUACACUAACAUUAUUAAAAGUAGCCCCACAGCUGAUCCCUUCUGAAGGUAUCGGCAAGGUAGAACUUGACUCUGGGCCUCUAUUUUCCAUCGGAAUGAAUGAAUGAAUGUCCUUGACUCUAUGAACAUCUGAGCAUGCUGUGUGAUCCAUGCUAAGCACACAGCCCCGACCUCCCUCUAGGGCGGCACUGUGCACCUAUCAUGCUUCAUUUUAGCAUCCUUCCAUGUUCCUGCACUAGCUUGAGACUCUGUGACUGUGAUAAUGCUAUUAUUACCAUGCUAAUAGCAAAAGCAACUAACAUUUAUUACCCUUACCUUUCUGGAAUGUGCUUUUUAAUAACUAGCACAAAACACACAUACAUACGCUGAAAUUAAUUUAGU